rnacentral:lncRNA from 1 species
UGCACCAUAGCCUGGAUAGAAAAGCAAGCCCGGUCGCACGCCAUUGUAGGCUCCUUAUGCAUGAACUGUCUGGCGUCGCCACCACAGAUGCCACACUGUCACAGCAAUGGUUUCACAAAAAUGAUCAACAUGCACAGGGGAUCUCAAAGGUGAACAAAGAAGGAAUUCUAGUACCGCACUACUACAGAAAAGAUCAUUAGUAACGGUCGAAAAAGUGCAUCAGUAACGGGCGUCCUGAUGCGGUCGUUCUGCCCGUUACUAAUGAUGCCACCAUCAGUGGCGGUUGACACCCCACGACCGACACUAAUACAUAUUUCGCGAUUUUAAAAAAAAGCCGGCCACAAGCCGGCAUAUUUUGAUCGUGGCCGAAUAAAAAUUCCAAAUCAAAUAUUAAGCACCCCAAAUCAGAGAUUACAGCAGUAAAAAUCACAAAAAAAUAACGAAAAAAGAUCCGAAGCUCUCCCUCGCCGGAUUCAGCCACAUCGCCCUCCAUGGCAGCGGCGGCUCCUUGGUCGAGGCUGUGAACGCCGGAUCCGUGCGGUCG